rnacentral:rRNA from 1 species
GCGAUGCGUUGAGCUAACCUGUAAGAAUGAACCGAGAGGCUUAACCUUACAACGCCGAAG